GACGAACGCUGGCGGCGUGCUUAACACAUGCAAGUCGAACGAAGUGGCGCACGGGUGAGUAACGCGUAAUCAACCUGCCCUUCAGAGGGGGACAACAGUUGGAAACGAAUGCUAAUACCGCAUACUGAAGGAGGGGAUUGCGUCUGAUUAGGGAGUUGGAGGGGUAACGGCCCACCAAGGCGAUGAUCAGUAGCCGGUCGUGGAGGAUGAACGGCCACAUUGGGACUGAGACACGGCCCAGACUCCUACGGGAGGCAGCAGUGGGGAAUAUUGCACAAUGGGCGCAAGCCUGAUGCAGCCAUGCCGCGUGAGUGAUGACGGCCUUCGGGUUGUAAAGCUCUGUUAAUCGGGACGCGGUACCGGAAGAGAAAGCCACGGCUAACUACGUGCCAGCAGCCGCGGUAAUAC
rnacentral:rRNA from 1 species